rnacentral:rRNA from 1 species
GUCUACGGCCAUACCACCCUGAACGCGCCCGAUCUCGUCUGAUCUCGGAAGCUAAGCAGGGUUGGGCCUGGUUAGUACUUGGAUGGGAGACUGUGGAGAAAUAGGAACUCUCCUUC